rnacentral:snRNA from 1 species
GUGGCCAGCACAUAUACUCAAAUCGGAACCAUACCGAGAAGAUGAGCAUGGGCCCUGCGCGGGGAUGACGUGCAAGUUUGCAAAGCGUUCCUUGUUUUU